rnacentral:rRNA from 1 species
UACGGGGGGAGCAAGCGUUGUUCGGAUUUACUGGGCGUAAAGGGCGCGUAGGCGGCUUUGACAAGUCAGUUGUGAAAUCUCCGGGCUUAACCCGGAACGGUCAACUGAUACUGUCGAGCUAGAGUGCAGAAGGGGCAACUGGAAUUCUCGGUGUAGCGGUGAAAUGCGUAGAUAUCGAGAGGAACACCUGCGGCGAAGGCGGGUUGCUGGGCUGACACUGACGCUGAGGCGCGAAAGCUAGGGGAGCGAACGGG